rnacentral:rRNA from 1 species
GUAAUUUUAAUUAAUUUUUUUUUGAGUUUAUUUUAUAAUGGCAUUAAUAUCUUAUUUUUUAUUAUUUUGAAAUAAUUAUUUUUAUUAAUAGUUAAUUAGUACUGUGAAGGGUUUUAUUUAUACAAUAAUAAGAAGAAUUUAUUUUUUGUACCUUGUGUAUCAGGGUAAAUUGAUUUAUUAAUAAAAAUUUAUUUUUCCCGAAUUUAGAAGAUCUAUUUUUAUAUAUAUUUUAUUGUGAAAUAAAUAUUUUUAAUAUGAGAAUAGAAAUGAAAUGUUAUUCGUUUCUAAAUAUAUCUGGUUUUUUAGGAAAAAAGUUUAAUUUGUUUUUUAAUUUAAAAUUUUAUUAUUUUUUAUAAUUUUUAAUUAAAAAGUUAUUUUUUUAGGGAUUAGCUUGAAAAAAUAUUAUUAAAAUAAAAAUAUUAAUUUGUUAAAUUAGGAUUAGAAGUUUUCAUAUUUUAUAGGAUGUUAUAUUUAAUUCAUUGUUUUUUUAAUUUAUAUUUUAUUUAAUUUUUUUACUAAAAUUAAUUAAUUAAUUUUGUACUUUUUGUAAUAAUGAUUUAAUUAGUAUAAAUUUUUGUUAAGAAAUUUUUAUUUUAAGGUUAAGAAAAGGAAUUCGGCAAAUUAUUUUUCACCUGUUUAAUAAAAACAUGGCCUUUUGAUUAUAAUUUAAGGUCUAGCCUGCCCUAUGAACUUUUAAAUGGCCGCGGUAUUUUGACCGUGCAAAGGUAGCAUAAUAAUUAGUUUUUUAAUUGAAAGCUGGUAUGAAUGGCUGAAUGAAAAAAUGACUGUCUCUUUUUAAUUUUUUAGAAUUUUAUUUUUUAGUUAGAAAGCUAAAAUUUUGUUAAAAGACGAGAAGACCCUAUAGAGUUUUAUAGAAUUGAAUUUUUUUCUUUUUUAGAAUUUUUAAAUUAAAAAUUUAAUUUUAUUUGGUUGGGGCGAUUAAAAAAUUAAUAAAACUUUUUUUUAUUUUUACAUUGAUUUAUGAAUUAUUGAUCCAUUAUUUUUGAUUAUAAGAAAAAAUUACCUUAGGGAUAACAGCGUAAUCUUUUUUGAGAGUUCUAAUCGAAAAAGAGGGUUGCGACCUCGAUGUUGGAUUAAAAUUAAAUUUUGGUGCAGAAGCUGAAAGUUUAGGUCUGUUCGACCUUUAAAAUUUUACAUGAUCUGAGUUUAAACCGGCGUGAGCCAGGUUGGUUUCUAUCUUUAUUUAAUUAAAAUAUUUUAGUACGAAAGGACCAAAUAUUUAAUAAUUUAUUUUUAUUUAGAAUAUUAGU